GUCCCUGUGGUGCAGUGGUAGCAUGUUUUGCUUUUGUGGAUCGGGCAACUUGUGCAUAUCCUGUGCGGCAAGUUGUCUGGUUUAGUGUCGAAGAGGUCAGGGGUUCAAUUCCUCCUGAGGGCA